rnacentral:rRNA from 1 species
AGCUUGCUCUCUGAUUCAGCGGCGGACGGGUGAGUAAUGCCUAGGAAUCUGCCUGGUAGUGGGGGACAACGUCUCGAAAGGGACGCUAAUACCGCAUACGUCCUACGGGAGAAAGCAGGGGACCUUCGGGCCUUGCGCUAUCAGAUGAGCCUAGGUCGGAUUAGCUAGUUGGUGAGGUAAUGGCUCACCAAGGCGACGAUCCGUAACUGGUCUGAGAGGAUGAUCAGUCACACUGGAACUGAGACACGGUCCAGACUCCUACGGGAGGCAGCAGUGGGGAAUAUUGGACAAUGGGCGAAAGCCUGAUCCAGCCAUGCCGCGUGUGUGAAGAAGGUCUUCGGAUUGUAAAGCACUUUAAGUUGGGAGGAAGGGUUGUAGAUUAAUACUCUGCAAUUUUGACGUUACCGACAGAAUAAGCACCGGCUAACUCUGUGCCAGCAGCCGCGGUAAUACAGAGGGUGCAAGCGUUAAUCGGAAUUACUGGGCGUAAAGCGCGCGUAGGUGGUUUGUUAAGUUGGAUGUGAAAGCCCCGGGCUCAACCUGGGAACUGCAUUCAAAACUGACAAGCUAGAGUAUUGGUAGAGGGUGGUGGAAUUUCCUGUGUAGCGGUGAAAUGCGUAGAUAUAGGAAGGAACACCAGUGGCGAAGGCGACCACCUGGACUGAUAC